GCGGAUCCGGACCCGCCAGCGGCAGCGACAGCCCCUCCUCGCCCGAGUUUUUCUGUAUCCAAGAGAAUCUUCUGCAUCAGUGAUGUGAGAGUUCCUGUUACCUGAAGCCUGACAAGAAAAAAUGAUGCUGGAUUACAGAUGGCUUACCACAGUUUUCUGGCAUGAAGACAAGCUAUAAAGCACAAAAAAGGAGAGGAAAAAAAUCCCCACGGACAAAUGAACUUGGAACAAAUC